UUCAAUUUUUAAGCAGGCCGUGCAAGGAUUUACAGGAAUUUGUUAGCUGUUGCUUUGUGGCUUUGACAAUUCAAGGGAUUGAUGGAUUUUACUUUUGCAGCGAACGGGCAGCCGUUAGACUCACAGUUCACUGAGCAUAUCCUGCCAUCGAGCCAUUGAUUUAUUUGCUCGCAUUUGUAAUUUAGUUUUUUAAAGUUCUACGUUCCUCCCAAAACUGUCAACAGCUGAGUCUCAAAACGGUCUGCCAUGCAUCAUGAUGCUGCUUAUGAUUAAUCGCUGUCUUUUCAGCUGCUGGUUUUUUCCAAGUGUAGCCCCAUUUGGACAUGCAAACAAAAUGGAGCCGGGAUUGUCUUGCAUUGCUGAAAGUGUAUCCUUGCCUAAUGUAAAGGGCAAAUUAGCAAAAACCAACCCAGCAAUUUAAAAUAAAAUGAGCCUGGCAAUGUCCUUAA